CCUACGGGGUGCAGCAGUCGAGAAUUAUUCACAAUGGGGGAAACCCUGAUGGUGCGACGCCGCGUGGGGGAAUGAAGGUCUUCGGAUUGUAAACCCCUGUCAUGUGGGAGCAAAUUAAAAAGAUAGUACUACAAGAGGAAGAGACGGCUAACUCUGUGCCAGCAGCCGCGGUAAUAAAGAGGCCUCAAGCGUUGUUCGGAAUCACUGGGAGGAAAGCGUGGGUAGGCUGUUUCGUAAGUCGUGUGUGAAAGGCGCGGGCUCAACCCGCGGACGGCACAUGAUACUGCGAGACGAGAGGAAGGGAGGGGGAACCGGAAUUCUCGGUGUAGCAGUGAAAUGCGUAGAUAGCGAGAGGAACACUCGUGGCGAAGGCGGGUUCCUGGACAUUAACUGACGCUGAGGCACGAAGGCCAGGGGAGCGAAAGGGAUUAGAUACCCUGGUAGUC
rnacentral:rRNA from 1 species